rnacentral:rRNA from 1 species
GCUAUACACGAGGUGAGUGGCAAACGGGUGAGUAAUGCGUAAGUAAUCUACCUUAAGGCGAGGGAUAACCCUGAGAAAUUGGGGCUAAUAUAUCGUAAUAUUAUUAUUACGAAAGUGGUAAUAAUUAAACUUACGACGUAAGUCGCAAGGCCUUGAGACGAACUUGCGUCCUAUCAGCUAGUUGGUAGGGUAACGGCCUACCAAGGCGAUGACGGGUAGCCGGCCUGAGAGGGUGUCCGGCCACACUGGAACUGAGACACGGUCCAGACUCCUACGGGAGGCAGCAGUAGGGAAUUUUGCGCAAUAGGCGAAAGCCUGACGCAGCGACGCCGCGUGGAGGAUGAAGGUCUUCGGAUUGUAAACUCCUUUUAGUAGGAAAGAAAUUAUUCCGGUUAAUAGUCGGAAUAUUUGACGGUACCUGCAGAAAAAGCCACGGCUAACUACGUGCCAGCAGCCGCGGUAAUACGUAGGUGGCAAGCGUUGCUCGGAUUUACUGGGUGUAAAGCGCAGGUAGGUGGGUUGACAAGUCAGUAGUGAAAUCCUUCGGCUUAACCGGAGAACUGCUACUGAAACUGUCAAUCUUGAGUGUGGGAGGGGAAAUCGGAAUUCCCGGUGUAACGGUGAAAUGUGUAGAUAUCGGGAGGAAUGCCGAUGGCGAAAGCGGGUUUCUAGCCCAUUACUGACGCUGAGCUGCGAAAGCUAGGGGAGCAAACAGGAUUAGAUACCCUGGUAGUCCUAGCAGUAAACGAUGCUCACUUGAUAUGGGAGGUGUCGACCCCUUCUGUGUCGUAGCUAACGCGUUAAGUGAGCCACCUGGGAAGUACGGCCGCAAGGUUGAAACUCAAAAGAAUUGACGGGGGCCCGCACAAGCGGUGGAGCAUGUGGUUUAAUUCGACACUACGCGAAGAACCUUACCUGGGCUUGAACUACUGGUGGUAAAACCCCGAAAGGGGAAUGACCCGUAAGGGAGCCAGCAGAGGUGCUGCAUGGUUGUCGUCAGCUCGUGUCGUGAGAUGUUGGGUUAAGUCCCGCAACGAGCGCAACCCUUAUCCCAUGUUGCUACUCCUGAUGUAAAUCAGGAAGCACUCUUGGGGGACUGCUCCGGAUAACGGAGAGGAAGGUGGGGAUGACGUCAAAUCAGCAUGGCCCUUAUGUCCAGGGCAACACACGUGCUACAAUGGCUAAUACAACGGGAUGCGAAAUCGUAAGGUGGAGCCAAUCCCUUAAAAUUAGCCCCAGUUCAGAUUGUGGGCUGCAAUUCGCCCACAUGAAGUCGGAAUCGCUAGUAAUCGCGAAUCAGCAGGUCGCGGUGAAUACGUUCCCGGGCCUUGUACACACCGCCCGUCACACCACGAAAGUCAGUAGCAACAGAAGACCCUGAGUUAUCAGGGGACAAGUUGUAACCGGUAAUUGGGGUGAAGUCGAAACAAGGUA